rnacentral:rRNA from 1 species
CGCCUCCUGAGAAGUAGGAGGUACUGCCUGCUCAAUGCUUAAAUGUAAAUGGCCGCGGUAUUCUGACCGUGCUAAGGUAGCAUAAUCAUUUGUCUCUUGAUUAGAGGCUGGUAUGAAUGGCAAGACGAGGAGGUAACUGUCUCUUUUGUGAUAAUCGAAUUUCACUUCUGGGUGAAAAGGCUCAGAUAAAUUUGGAGGACGAUCAGACCCUAAAGAGCUUAUUAGUUGGGGCGACGAAGAGAAUUAAAUAACACUCUUUUUUAAGACCACUUAUAAGUGAACAAUUGAUCCCCCAUGCGGGAUUAGAAGACUAAGUUACCUUAGGGAUAACAGCGUAAUAUUCUUGGAGAGUUCUUAUCGAUAAGAAAGUUUGCGACCUCGAUGUUGGAUUAAGAAAUUAGUGAGGUGCAGAAGCUUCACUGGAAAGUCUGUUCGACUUUUAAUCUCUUACA